GACGAACGCUGGCGGCGUGCUUAACACAUGCAAGUCGAACGGAAAGGCCCUGCUUUUGUGGGGUGCUCGAGUGGCGAACGGGUGAGUAACACGUGAGUAACCUGCCCUUGACUUUGGGAUAACUUCAGGAAACUGGGGCUAAUACCGGAUAGGAGCUCCUGCUGCAUGGUGGGGGUUGGAAAGUUUCGGCGGUUGGGGAUGGACUCGCGGCUUAUCAGCUUGUUGGUGGGGUAGUGGCUUACCAAGGCUUUGACGGGUAGCCGGCCUGAGAGGGUGACCGGCCACAUUGGGACUGAGAUACGGCCCAGACUCCUACUGGAGGCAGCAGUGGGGAAUAUUGCACAAUGGGCGGAAGCCUGAUGCAGCAACUCCGCGUGCGGGAUGACUGCCUUCGGGUUGUAAACCGCUUUCGCCUGUGACGAAGCGUGAGUGACGGUAAUGGGUAAAGAAGCACCGGCUAACUACGUG
rnacentral:rRNA from 1 species